rnacentral:pre_miRNA from 7 species
UUUUUGGCUGGGAGACUAUAACUGCUUCUAAUGAAAGAUCCCCAAAGGGAGACCCUCACUCAAGCCUCGGGAUGUGGCGCGGACCCAAGAGAGACGUGGAGACCG